GACGAACGCUGGCGGCGUGCUUAACACAUGCAAGUCGAACGGAAAGGCCCUUCGGGGUACUCGAGUGGCGAACGGGUGAGUAACACGUGGGUGAUCUGCCCUGCACUUUGGGAUAAGCCUGGGAAACUGGGUCUAAUACCGAAUAGGACCACGCGCUUCAUGGUGUGUGGUGGAAAGCUUUUGCGGUGUGGGAUGGGCCCGCGGCCUAUCAGCUUGUUGGUGGGGUAAUGGCCUACCAAGGCGACGACGGGUAGCCGGCCUGAGAGGGUGACCGGCCACACUGGGACUGAGAUACGGCCCAGACUCCUACGGGAGGCAGCAGUGGGGAAUAUUGCACAAUGGGCGCAAGCCUGAUGCAGCGACGCCGCGUGAGGGAUGACGGCCUUCGGGUUGUAAACCUCUUUCAAUAGGGACGAAGCGCAAGUGACGGUACCUAUAGAGGAAGCACCGGCCAACUACGUGCCAGCAGCCGCGGUAAUACGUAGGGUGCGAGCGUUGUCCGGAAUUACUGGGCGUAAAGAGCUCGUAGGUGGUUUGUCGCGUUGUUCGUGAAAACUCACAGCUUAACUGUGGGCGUGCGGGCGAUACGGGCAGACUAGAGUACUGCAGGGGAGACUGGAAUUCCUGGUGUAGCGGUGGAAUGCGCAGAUAUCAGGAGGAACACCGGUGGCGAAGGCGGGUCUCUGGGCAGUAACUGACGCUGAGGAGCGAAAGCGUGGGGAGCGAACAGGAUUAGAUACCCUGGUAGUCCACGCCGUAAACGGUGGGUACUAGGUGUGGGUUCCUUCCUUGGGAUCCGUGCCGUAGCUAACGCAUUAAGUACCCCGCCUGGGGAGUACGGCCGCAAGGCUAAAACUCAAAGGAAUUGACGGGGGCCCGCACAAGCGGCGGAGCAUGUGGAUUAAUUCGAUGCAACGCGAAGAACCUUACCUGGGUUUGACAUGCACAGGACGCCGGCAGAGAUGUCGGUUCCCUUGUGGCCUGUGUGCAGGUGGUGCAUGGCUGUCGUCAGCUCGUGUCGUGAGAUGUUGGGUUAAGUCCCGCAACGAGCGCAACCCUUGUCCUAUGUUGCCAGCGGGUUAUGCCGGGGACUCGUAGGAGACUGCCGGGGUCAACUCGGAGGAAGGUGGGGAUGACGUCGAGUCAUCAUGCCCCUUAUGUCCAGGGCUUCACACAUGCUACAAUGGCCGGUACAAAGGGCUGCGAUGCCGUGAGGUGGAGCGAAUCCUUUCAAAGCCGGUCUCAGUUCGGAUCGGGGUCUGCAACUCGACCCCGUGAAGUCGGAGUCGCUAGUAAUCGCAGAUCAGCAACGCUGCGGUGAAUACGUUCCCGGGCCU
rnacentral:rRNA from 1 species